UUCUGACUCUUCCCGAUGAAGGUUCCUCCCAAACCUUCAUCAGAGAGAGUCGGGCCU
ensembl:miRNA